rnacentral:lncRNA from 1 species
AUGUGAUAAUAAACAAACAAAUCUAAACUAACAAAUGUCAAAUCAUAUUUUACGCCAAGAUGGCCAGUCAAUUUGAGUAACGUUAUUGUGUAUUCUACGUAAUGACGCGGUUUUACGUUAUUAUGUAAUGACGUCAUCACGCAAUGACAUCACAAUGUAAUUUAGCUACUUUUAGCAACAAAUCGACCUGCCCCUAGCAACUUCCCUUGAAAGUUAGUUGGCAACACUGAGUGGCAAUGCUAAUGCUGGUGAUGGCACGGGCAAAGUGCAGCAUUUACCAGAAACAAACCCCUGGCAAGUAAUGUCGAAUUCCAGCCUCCUCUGGUGGAGUUAAGACCUGCCAUGGUGAACUGACAGUAAGAGAGGAGCUGAAAGAAACCAGCCAGCACUACUCUGCUCUGGGUGAGAGGUUUGAUUUGGGCCGGGGGAAUUGGUGGCCCAGCAGGUCUGCCUGGUCUGCUUGCCUGCCUGUGUAUCCAUCGAUGGAAGUGUCUCUCACCUCUGGCCAUCUAGCGGUUCCUCCUGCCUCCUCCUCCUUUUCGACCUACCGACCGUCAGUCCGCUGAAUGGUAAUUCCCCCUGAUAACCUUGGGCUGGGAAGGCGGAGUAGGGAGAGAAGGGGAGGAGGAAGAGCGAAAGAGGCUCCCGCUCCGUUGGUCUGAGCCCGGUGAGGUGAUCGGUGUGUGGACAGGAGCCAGGCCAAUCUAGCCAUCAAUUGGGCCGUCAGCCGCCCAGCCAACGGGAGACACACUGCUAAUGCAUGGCAUUGGUCACCACGCUGCUGAAACAGCCAUGUAAUUAUAUCUCAGGGCAGGGGGCACAGGCAGUGCCAGGGAGCGAGGAGUGGAGAGGCCUUUGGACAGGGGUAUUGGACUGGAAGGAGAGUCAGUGAUUUUGCCUCUUUGCUGCCAUUUUGGUCAAUACAAUCGCUAGAGCCUGAAAAAUGAAAUCCCCCACCAAUAUUUCAGUUUGUUUUUGAAAGCUAAAUAAAGGUCAAAGAGCGCGUCGAGCUGUCACGCCCCAGCGCCACCAUGGAGGGGCUCUCCUCGCCCACCUGGCCUAGCUCGCCUAGCUGGCCGUUACCCACAAGGCACCUGGACAGGAGAGGGACCCGCAGGCAGGAGGGCCAGAGGGGGAAGAGUGAAGGAGUGUCAGCUUGACUGCAGGAGUCUAGCUGGAGGAACAGCAGCAGCUGUGUGAGAGGGAGAGAAGAGAUCCAGAAGAGGGUGCCACUGAUCAAAAUGUGAGCGCAACACACCGCACCGUUCCUCUUCCCCUUCCUUCUUUCCUCCCUUCCUCUUCCUGGUUCUGUUCAUCAUCCUCCUCCUCUCUGGAAACCCACCCAGAACCCUCCACCCACGGUACCUACCCCAGCCUCAACCAAAGCUCAUAAAGUCCUUCCCUGGAGGUCAAACCCCCUCUCCUCAGUACAGUAGAAGAGUGUUAAUUACGUCCAAGUAAGUCCCGCUCUGAGAAAGGCAGGAGAGAGAGAAAGACAUGAAUAAAAGUCUCCA